rnacentral:miRNA from 10 species
CAAUCAAAGUUGUUGUGAUGUG